CAAAGAGUAUAGGAAAUUUUAUUAUGUUAUAUCAUUUAUUAUAUAGUUAGUACUUACACUUUGUUAAUAAAAAAAAUUAGUUUAUAUAAAAGUUUGUUGUUAAUAUAAUAAUAAACAGUUUAUAUGAUAUACAUUUUUCAUUAAUCACCACAAAUUAAGUUUAAGAACAAAAAGUGAUACAAUCUAACCUAACAUCAAUUGCUGUGUAAUGUUUAUCGACUAAACUUCGAUUGUGUCAUUGACAAGUUUAUCGAUUGUUUCAAAAUAAGUUAAAAUGUAUACAGGGCUUUCCUCAGGCCCACUAUCAUCCUGUUGUGAGUGACUCUGCUGAUCACUACCUGGAAGGCUACCAUAUUGUUGUGCAUCUUCACUAUGUCCAGAGGCAGACGAGGAGCUUGAAGAAAGCGGUUUAGUAUUAAGUGCACCAAGCGAAUUAAAUGUUCCAAGAGGACCACCAACAUUGCUUGUACCACUGCUAACACCAACAGAUAGUUGACUGUCACCUGUAAAACCGGACACCAUGUUCGUUGUCCUAGGAAAGAAAAGAGUAAUUAUGAUUAUUACCUAUGUUUAAUUUAAAGAUCUUAGAAAGUAUUAAAAUCAAUUUUAUUUAUUACAUGUAUUUAUCAUUAUGAUUAUACACUUCAGUAAAAAUCCAAUAAAUAACAGUUCUUAUUAAAUUCUUCACUAAA